AUUGAACGCUGGCGGCAUGCCUAACACAUGCAAGUCGCACGCGAAAGGGGGCAACCCCGAGUAGAGUGGCGGACGGGUGCGUAAUACGUAGGAAUCUACCUGAUAGUGGGGGACAACCCGGCGAAAGCCGGGCUAAUACCGCAUACGACCUAUGGGUGAAAGCCGGGGACCGCAAGGCCUGGCGCUAUUAGAUGAGCCUGCGUCGGAUUAGCUAGUUGGUGAGGUAAAGGCUACCAAGGCGACGAUCCGUAGCUGGUCUGAGAGGACGACCAGCCACACUGGGACUGAGACACGGCCCAGACUCCUACGGGAGGGCAGCAGUGGGGAAUAUUGGACAAUGGGGGCAACCCUGAUCCAGCAAUGCCGCGUGUGUGAAGAAGGCCUCGGUUGGU
rnacentral:rRNA from 1 species